rnacentral:ncRNA from 1 species
GAUUGCAAGUCAACCCUCUCUGUAAUCGCGGCUG